UACGUAGGGGGCAAGCGUUGUUCGGAAUCAUUGGGCGUAAAGCGCGUGUAGGCGGCUUGGCAAGUCAGUUGUGAAAGCCCGGGGCCCAACCCCGGAACUGCAUCUGAAACUGCCUGGCUAGAGUCCCGGAGAGGAAGCAGAAUUCCCGGUGUAGGGGUGAAAUCCGUAGAUAUCGGGAGGAAUACCAGCGGCGAAGGCGGCCUUCUGGACGGUGACUGACGCUGAGACGCGAAAGCGUGGGGAGCAAACAGG
rnacentral:rRNA from 1 species